UAAAAUCAUCUUCAAAAUGACAAUUAAGAACACGACUUAAAAGUGGCUUCAGAGGAAAAGCAAGAAACGCUUGAAAGAAGUGAAAAUAAACAGCCAGAGUCCUCCUGGGCUGCAAGGACAUGGCAGGAAUGACUAGUGUCCACUGUGACAAGGGUCUGUGACACUGUGACUGAGGCCUGUCUCCUCCUGCCACGACGACUCAUGUGCCCUGAGAGACAGGCUCCUCUCUGUCCAGUCAGCGUCCAAGGACACGGACAGUGGUAAGGCACCGAGCACAGACACUGUGAUGGACACAGCACGCAGGAUGGCGUAUGCUCCUGGAGGCAGAUCACAGCCAGCACAGACAGCAAUUCUGGGUGAGUGUUAGUCAGAGGGUAUUAGAGCUGGAAGGAUUCUGAGAGAUCGCCUAGUCGUUCACAGAUGGCCUCAGUCAGUAAGUCUUCUAAUGUUAGAAGGAACAUUGAUACAACUUUAUGAAAUACUUUGAUAUAUUUAUUUAUUUAUCUUCCUAAAACUAAACCUCAUAAGAUGAUGUUUCAACUUCAAAUAUUGAUAAACCUUAAGCCUAGAUAGGCUGAAUAACUGCAAGCAUAAUUUAUAACAUUUAUAGAAUGUCUAUUUGAUCUCAACAAAAAUAAGUAUCCUAUAGGAAAAAUGUAAGGGUUACUGGUUUUAAGAAAUAAAAGGAUGUUUUUCAGAAUACUGGAAGGAUCUAUAUGAGGACAACCUACCUGUUUGCCAGUUUCUUUAAAGCUGUCAGCUCAAGGCUACUGACAUGGCUUUUGCUUCCUUCCUGUAAAUUUUGUUUCUGAAAACCUGAGACAAAUUCACUUGAUAUUUUUGACAACUGGGACCUUAAAAUGAUCAAAAUGAGCCUAAGUCUGAACAGAAAACCAAGAUAGUUUUUAAUAAGUACUUGACCCUUUUUGAGUCAGAAAGUGACUCCAGUCUACUGUCCCCAAAUUGCUGCUCCCCAUUCCUUCCCUGUGUCCCUCACUUCCACUACAGCUGCAGCCGGCCCAGCCUGUCCCUCUUAACACAGCGAUGUGGCUUUGUCUUUGCUAACAUGAAGGGUAUAACCUGCCACAGGGUAUCAACGUGUGGGCCAUUUCAAUUUCUUCACUUUGCAGCUGAAUUUUAUACCAAUAAUUCUGCAAUGACAUCUCGGAUUCUAAAAGUCUGCUUCACUGUCAUUUUUUUUUUUCCCCAAGAAAGUCUCACUCUGUCAUCCAGGCUGCAGUGCAGUGGUGCGAUCAGCUCACUGUAACCUCAAACUCCUGAUCUCGUGAUCUGCUUGCCUUGGCCUCCCGAAGUGCUGAGAUUACAGGCUUCAGUCACCGCGCCCACCACUACCAUAUUCAAAGUGACUAAAAUGUGCCUCUUAAAAUCUCUGACAGGUUCAGUGUCCUUCUAAGUCUUGCUGGGUACACUAUGCAGAAUCAAUGAUGAGUAAAAUCAUAUUCAAGCCUUACUGAAGAGGACGGGAGAUAUCAACACAGUUACCCUGAGGAACUCAAGACUUUAUCCAUACUUUAUCCAGUUUCACAUGUGUCCAGAGAAAACACUGGGCGACCAGGUUCCCAAGCUUAAUAAAUAUAUAUACAAAAAAUGUCAUCUAUAAUAUUUUCUUCAGAAAGCCAUUAGUGCAAAUAUAAUUAUAUCAAUAAAAAAUAAAGCAAAAAUAUAUUUCAAGUAUAAAAAGCACCAUGCUCAGAAACAAUACUACCUAAAUGGUGCCACUACACAACAGUCAAAAUAUAGUCGAACCUAUCACUGUGACUCUCAAAUAUAUGAUUAAUUCAUUGUAUUUUUGGUAAAAUUCUUCAUACAGCUUUGCAGGAUGAUUCAUAAUCAUAAGAAGUAUAUGUUUAGAUUAUUGUAAGUUUCUUUAAAAAUAGACUCUUUGCUUUGACUUUUAAUUUACGCAAUUUAAAGUAUGUACAACAUAGGCAGAAAAUGAGCACUGGCCCGCAGACCAUUACGCAGGUUGAGCAUCACUUACUGAAAUGCUUGGGACCAGAAGUGUUUCAGAUUUCAGACUUUUUUUUGGAUUUCGGAUAUUUACAGAUACCUAAUGAGGUAUCUUGGGCAUGGACCCGAGUCUAAACAUGAAAUUCAUGUUUCAUAUAUAACUACACACACUGCCUGAAGGUAAUUUUAUACAAUAUUUUUAGUAGUUUGUGCAUGAAACAAAGUUUGUGUUAAGUACUUAUAUGUGGAAUUUUCUACUUGUAGUAUCAGGUCAGCAUUCAGAAAGUUUCAGAUUUUGGAGCAAUUUGGAUUCCGGAUUUUUGGAUUAGGAAUGCUCAACCUGUAUUAGCUUCUUUUUUAGUUAAGUUGACUAUGUUUGAGAUUCCCAGCUUUUCACAAUGACAAAUACCUCCCAUUUAAAACUGCAUGCAAAUACAUACUUUAAAUGUAUGCAUUUGAAAAAAAAGCAACUUUCCUCUGUGCUGGGGUUGCUGUUGGCUCUAGUGCCAAAUAAUCAGAAUUAAUUCUUAGUAAUUAUGUUGCUUCGCUCACUUAGCAUAAUUUCUUCAAUGGAGUACUGAAUAGCUAUAUGCUGAAUGGACGAAAAGCAGGGAAGGACGAGGAAAGGAGGAACUGAAGGAGUCUGUCCGAGGGUUGUGGUUACAAUGCCAUGGAGGAGUAGGAGGAGUCUGUCCGAGGGUUGUGGUUACAAUGCCAUGGAGGAGUAGGAGGAGUCUGUCCGAGGGUUGUGGUUACAAUGCCAUGGAGGAGUAGGAGGAGUCUGUCCGAGGGUUGUGGUUACAAUGCCAUGGAGGAAUAGGAGUCUGUCCAAGGGUUGUGGUUACAAUGCCAUGGAGGAAUAGGAGGAGUCUGUCCGAGGGUUGUGGUUACAAUGCCAUAGGACUUCAUUAGCUUGAGAGAAAGAAUGGGCAUCGCCUAUCAUUCAUGAACAUAUUUUUUCUUUUUUCUUUUCAUAUUCUUGUUAAACCUCAUCUAGCCAUUAAAAAAUUUCAAAUAGGAAUUACUAAAUGGGGCUGGUAAGCUCUAGUACCAGUGUAAAAUUGCUUCUGGGGACCGGAAUCUAUGUAGUAACAGGAGGAGUGUCAAAUGCAGAAGGUAAAGGAUAUUUAAAGCGAAGGCAAUCUUCCAGCUUCUGUGGACUGAGUCUUACUUAAAAGUGGUACAGUGGACGCUACUGGAUAGGCUCUACACCAAACUUAUACCUUGCUAUUAGUACACAAUUCAGACCAUCCUUCUUAAACAUAAAACCAUUUUCAGAUGUUAGAAAUUCUUCUGCAACAAUUUCUUAACCCAUUUUAAAAAACUGCAUACCUGUCUUUACCAGAAUUUCUUUUUAUCUUCAUCGGUCACAAAGGAAUAGUUGUGUUUUUGUUGUUUCACAGUUGUCUUAAUAUUAUCUAAAACAAUACAAUUAUGUUUUUUUCUGUUUGCAUGUCUUCCACGUUUUCACAGGGCAGAGUAUUUUACUCUCUCGGCUUCCACAUUUUUUCAUGUCAUUAUUAAACUCAUGGAGAAUACAACCAGAAGCUGAGCUCUGAAGAGGGAUGAAUACAGAGGGCUACCAGCACACUGACAGCAGUUCUGCCGUAAACUGCCACAUAGCUGGCAAAAAGGGCAAGCACGGUUAAAUCAUAAGAUUUAAUGAAACAUUAUUUUAAAAAAUUCUUUAGAACAAACAAUGGGAACAGUGAAUUAAGUUUACUAUAUACCAGCCAUUAAUUUUUUUUUUUUUUUAAGAUACAGGGUCUAACUCUAUUGUGCAGGCUGGAAUACAGUGGUGCAAUCAUAGCUCACUGCAGCCUUGAACUCCUGGGCUCAAGCGAUCCUCCUGCCU
rnacentral:lncRNA from 1 species